GUGAAUCAGGCUCUUCUUCUGGUGGUUAGUAUUUCUUCUGAUCUAUGAUUUUGCCCAUUUGCUCUAGAAUUUGUUUAAAAUGUUUCGAGUUAUGUAGCAUGUGAAAAUAACAUCACUUUUUAGCUGUAUUUGUCAUCUCAGGGCUUUCUGAGAAGAUAAAUUUAGACAUUUUUUUAUCUUUUAAAUUGUAGAAAACUUCGUUAACAUAUUAUUCAUUGCCGAUUAUUGAAUGCUGAAUUUUUUUCUUGAAUCUGUAUUCUUGAUCAUUUGAAUUCUGAAGUGGACUCUGAAUAUUUUGUUGCUGUUGACACUUUAUUUGGAAUUUAUGAAAUUAUCUUUUUCAGUAUGGUGUCAUUUUAAAUCAAUUUCCUACACUGUUAAUCGAGCCUCCAUGAAGCUUUGAUUUGCAUAUUUUAGUAAUUGCUGGUACAUAUAUAUUGUGAAUAAUAAUAUAUAGUCACCUUUA
rnacentral:misc_RNA from 1 species